rnacentral:rRNA from 1 species
UACAGAGGGUGCAAGCGUUGUUCGGAAUUAUUGGGCGUAAAGGGCGCGUAGGCGGUGCCACAAGUCACCUGUGAAAUCUCCGGGCUUAACUCGGAGCCUGCAGGCGAAACUGUGGUGCUGGAGUGUGGGAGAGGUGCGUGGAAUUCCCGGUGUAGCGGUGAAAUGCGCAGAUAUCGGGUGGAACACCAGUGGCGAAGGCGGUGCUCUGGGCCGGAACUGACGCUGAAUGGCGAAAGCGUGGGUAGCAAACAGG